GUUUGGAUGCUGAGGUUGGAAAGCAGGACAGGGGACACUCCUGAGUGCAGCUCGGAGCGGGGAAAGCCGAAUUCCGGGGGCUGAAGAGGCCGCGCAGGGGACGAGCGCCUGCGAUGCGGAGCGUGGACUUCUUGGGCCGUACCCCUGCGGCUCAAGCUGCCCCGGAUUCGCUUCUCCGGCCGUGCAGCCCGGCGCGGGCCGCUGUCCACAGUGGGAGGUGCUGAAAGCAGGGAGCGGGUGCGGGGGCGGCGAGGCGGACCGCUGCUCCGAGCGCCCCCCUCCUCGCUCCGCGGCUCCUC
rnacentral:lncRNA from 1 species